rnacentral:rRNA from 1 species
GUUAGCGGUGGAUGGGUGUGUAACACGUGGGUAACCUGCCUGUAAGACCGGGAUAACUCCGGGAAACCGGGGCUAAUACCGGAUGCUUGUUUGAACCGCAUGGUUCAAACAUAAAAGGUGGCUUCGGCUACCACUUACAGAUGGACCCGCGGCGCAUUAGCUAGUUGGUGAGGUAAUGGCUCACCAAGGCAACGAUGCGUAGCCGACCUGAGAGGGUGAUCGGCCACACUGGGACUGAGACACGGCCCAGACUCCUACGGGAGGCAGCAGUAGGGAAUCUUCCGCAAUGGACGAAAGUCUGACGGAGCAACGCCGCGUGAGUGAUGAAGGUUUUCGGAUCGUAAAGCUCUGUUGUUAGGGAAGAACAAGUGCCGUUCAAAUAGGGCGGCACCUUGACGGUACCUAACCAGAAAGCCACGGCUAACUACGUGCCAGCAGCCGCGGUAAUACGUAGGUGGCAAGCGUUGUCCGGAAUUAUUGGGCGUAAAGGGCUCGCAGCGGUUUCUUAAGUCUGAUGUGAAAGCCCCCGGCUCAACCGGGGAGGGUCAUUGGAAACUGGGGGAACUUGAGUGCAGAAGAGGAGAGUGGAAUUUCCACGUGUAGCGGUGAAAUGCGUAGAGAUGUGGAGGGAACCACCAGUGGCGGAAG